rnacentral:rRNA from 1 species
CAGAGAAGUGCUUUAGCAAUAAAGAACCCGGUGACAAGUGCUGCAUGGCUGUCGUCAGCUCGUGUCGUGAGAUGUUGGGUUAAGUCCCGCAACGAGCGCAACCCUCGCCUUUAGUUGCCAGCAUUCAGUUGGGCACUCUAGAGGGACUGCCGGUGUCAAACCGGAGGAAGGUGGGGAUGACGUCAAGUCCUCAUGGCCUUUAUGUCUAGGGCUACACACGUACUACAAUGGCCGGUACAAAGGGCAGCCACUCAGCGAUGAGGCGCUAAUCCCAUAAAGCCGGUCUCAGUCCGGAUCGCAGUCUGCAACUCGACUGCGUGAAGUUGGAAUCGCUAGUAAUCGUAGAUCAGCAUGCUACGGUGAAUACGUUCCCGGGCCUU